GUAAAUGUUAUUAGGCUUCAUUUUGGGGGAAAUGGGCCCGGAGUUGGAAUGUUCCGGCCGCCCAGGGGGCCGGGGGAAAUUGGAUUCGGCCUUACCCCAUCCAAUUGAAGGGAUGGAGGGAGCUUGCUCCUUGAUUCAGCGGCGGACGGGUGAGUAAUGCCUAGGAAUCUGCCUGGUAGUGGGGGACAACGUUUCGAAAGGAACGCUAAUACCGCAUACGUCCUACGGGAGAAAGCAGGGGACCUUCGGGCCUUGCGCUAUCAGAUGAGCCUAGGUCGGAUUAGCUAGUUGGUGGGGUAAUGGCUCACCAAGGCGACGAUCCGUAACUGGUCUGAGAGGAUGAUCAGUCACACUGGAACUGAGACACGGUCCAGACUCCUACGGGAGGCAGCAGUGGGGAAUAUUGGACAAUGGGCGAAAGCCUGAUCCAGCCAGGCCGCGUGUGUGAAGAAGGUCUUCGGAUUGUAAAGCAAUGAAGUUGGGAGGAAGGGCAGUAAGUUAAUACCUGCUGUUUGACGUA
rnacentral:rRNA from 1 species